CCCAAAGGACUUGGCGGUGCUUUAGACCCCCCUAGAGGAGCCUGUUCUAGAACCGAUAACCCCCGUUUAACCUAACCCCCUCUUGUUCCCCCCGCCUAUAUACCGCCGUCGUCAGCUUACCCUGUGAAGGACUAAUAGUGAGCAUAAUUGGCACAGCCUAAAACGUCAGGUCGAGGUGUAGCGUAUGAGGGGGGAAGAAAUGGGCUACAUUCACUGAACCAGUGAAAACGAACGAUAACAUGAAACACCUAUCUAAAGGAGGAUUUAGCAGUAAGAGGGCAGCAGAGUGCCCCCC
rnacentral:rRNA from 1 species